rnacentral:tRNA from 2 species
GAGAUAUUAGUAAAACUAUUACAUAACCUUGUCAAGGUUAAAUUAUAGACUCCAAUCUAUAUAUCUUA